UUUUUUUUACUGGAAAACUCACUUCAUGCC
rnacentral:piRNA from 1 species